AAUCAACGCUGGCGGCGUGCCUCAGACAUGCAAGUCGAACGCGAAAGGUUCCUUCGGGGACCGAGUAGAGUGGCGCACGGGUGAGUAACACGUAGGUAAUUUGCCUUUGGGUGGGGAAUAACUCAGGGAAACUUGAGCUAAUACCGCAUAAUGCAGCGGCUCGACAUCGAGACAGUUGUUAAAGCGGGGGAUUCGCAAGAACCUCGCGCCUAAAGAGAAGCCUGCGGCAGAUUAGCUAGUUGGUAAGGUAAUGGCUUACCAAGGCGACGAUCUGUAACCGGCCUGAGAGGGCGGUCGGUCACACUGACACUGACAUACGGGUCAGACUCCUACGGGAGGCAGCAGUCGGGAAUUUUGGGCAAUGGGCGAAAGCCUGACCCACGCAACGCCGCGUGAAGGAUG
rnacentral:rRNA from 1 species